GGACAGAAAGACCCUAUGAAGCUUUACUGUAACUUGAAAUUGAAACUGGACUUUAUUUGCGCAGGAUAGGUGGGAGGCGUUGACAAUCUUUUUGCGGAAAGGUUGGAGCCAUCGGUGAGAUACCACUCCUAUAAUGUUAGGUUUCUAACUUGGUAUCAUUAUCUGGUCUAAGAACAGUUUCAGGCGGGCAGUUUGACUGGGGCGGUCGCCUCCUAAACGGUAGCGGAGGCGUACAAAGGUUUUCUCUGAACGGGUAGAAAUCGUAUCUAGAGUGUAAAGGCAUAAGGAAGCUUGACUGUGAGACCUACAAGUCGAGCAGGGACGAAAGUCGGUCUUAGUGAUCUGACGGUACUGAGUGGAAAGGCCGUCACUCAACGGAUAAAAGUUACUCUAGGGAUAACAGGCUGA
rnacentral:rRNA from 1 species